GGGAAACUCACCAGGUCCAGACAUAAUAAGGAUUGACAGAUUGAUAGCUCUUUCUUGAUUUUAUGGGUGGUGGUGCAUGGCCGUUCUUAGUUCGUGGAGUGAUUUGUCUGCUUAAUUGCGUUAACGAACGAGACCUUAACCUGCUAAAUAGGAUCACCUAUCUCCGGAUAAGUGACUUUCUUCUUAGAGGGACACCUGGUGUUUUUAACCAGGGGAAGUUGGAGGCAAUAA
rnacentral:rRNA from 1 species